UACGGCUCAGUAACACGUGGAUAACCUGCCCUAAGGAAGGGGAUACCCUCGGGAAACUGAGGAUAAUACCCUAUAGGUUACCGAUGCUGGAAUGCUCGGUAACUCAAAGUUCCGGCGCCUUAGGAUGGAUCUGCGGCCGAUUAGGUAGUUGUUGGGGUAACGGCCCAACAAGCCCGUAAUCGGUACGGGUUGUGGGAGCAAGAGCCCGGAGUUGGAUUCUGAGACACGAAUCCAGGCCCUACGGGGCGCAGCAGGCGCGAAAACUUUACAAUGCGGGCAACCGUGAUAAGGGAACCUCGAGUGCCUGUACAUGCAGGCUGUCUGGGUGUCUAAAACACACCCAAARAAAGGGCCGGGCAAGACCGGUGCCAGCCGCCGCGGUAAUACCGGCGGCUCGAGUGGUGGCCACUUUUAUUGGGCUUAAAGCGUUCGUAGCUGGGUUGUUAAGUCUCUUGGGAAAUCCGGCGGCUUAACCGUCGGGCGUCUAAGAGAUACUGGCAAUCUUGGAACCGGGAGAGGUGAGGGGUACUUCGGGGGUAGGAGUGAAAUCCUGUAAUCCUCGAGGGACCACCUGUGGCGAAGGCGCCUCACCAGAACGGCUUCGACAGUGAGGGACGAAAGCUGGGGGAGCAAACCGGAUUAGAUACCCGGGUAGUCCCAGCCGUAAACGAUGUGCGUUUGGCUUUUYACGACCACGAGUCGUCGAGGUGCCGAAGGGAAACCGUGAAACGUACCGCCKGGAAG
rnacentral:rRNA from 1 species